rnacentral:rRNA from 1 species
ACGGGUGAGUAAUACAUCGGAACGUAUCCUGGAGUGGGGGAUAGCCCGGCGAAAGCCGGAUUAAUACCGCAUACGCUCUGAGGAGGAAAGCGGGGGACCUUCGGGCCUCGCGCUCAAGGGGCGGCCGAUGGCGGAUUAGGUAGUUGGUGGGGUAAAGGCCUACCAAGCCGACGAUCCGUAGCUGGUCUGAGAGGACGACCAGCCACACUGGGACUGAGACACGGCCCAGACUCCUACGGGAGGCAGCAGUGGGGAAUUUUGGACAAUGGGGGCAACCCUGAUCCAGCAAUGCCGCGUGUGUGAAGAAGGCCUUCGGGUUGUAAAGCACUUUUGUCCGGAAAGAAAUCAUCGGGGCCAAUACCCCUGGUGGAUGACGGUACCGGAAGAAUAAUCACCGGCUAACUACGUGCCAGCAGCCGCGGUAAUACGUAGGGUGCGAGCGUUAAUCGGAAUUACUGGGCGUAAAGCGUGCGCAGGCGGUGCUGUAAGACCGAUGUGAAAUCCCCGGGCUUAACCUGGGAACUGCAUUGGUGACUGCAGCGCUGGAGUAUGGCAGAGGGGGGUGGAAUUCCACGU